UACGUAGGGUGCAAGCGUUAAUCGGAAUUACUGGGCGUAAAGCGUGCGCAGGCGGCCAUGCAAGACAGAUGUGAAAUCCCCGGGCUCAACCUGGGAACUGCAUUUGUGACUGCAUGGCUAGAGUACGGCAGAGGGGGAUGGAAUUCCGCGUGUAGCAGUGAAAUGCGUAGAUAUGCGGAGGAACACCGAUGGCGAAGGCAAUCCCCUGGGCCUGUACUGAUGCUCAUGCACGAAAGCGUGGGGAGCAAACAGG
rnacentral:rRNA from 1 species